rnacentral:rRNA from 1 species
UUGUGGAAACACGAGAGUGCCUCGCAAGAGGAGCCUGGAGACAGGUGCUGCAUGGCCGUCGUCAGCUCGUGUCGUGAGAUGUUGGGUUAAGUCCCGCAACGAGCGCAACCCCUAUCUUUAGUUGCCAUCAUUGAGUUGGGCACUCUAAAGAGACUGCCGGUGUCAAACCGGAGGAAGGUGGGGAUGACGUCAAGUCCUCAUGGCCUUUAUGACCAGGGCUACACACGUACUACAAUGGCCGAUACAAAGGGCAGCGACACUGCGAGGUGAAGCCAAUCCCAUAAAAUCGGUCUCAGUCCGGAUUGGAGUCUGCAACUCGACUCCAUGAAGUUGGAAUCGCUAGUAAUCGCGGAUCAGCAUGCCGCGGUGAAUACGUUCUCGGGCCUU